UAUCUUUGUGUAUGUCAGGGAUGGGCAACUGGCGGUCCGCGGGCCGCAUGCAGCCCGCUUCAUCACUCAAAGU